rnacentral:lncRNA from 1 species
AGAUUUAUCAAAUACAAUAGAAGAUUAGUCUCCGAAUACAAUUCAUCAUAUUAGUCUCCGAAUUUAAAAUACUGAACAAAGUUAGAAAUUACAAGUCUCGAGACCGCGAGUAGCAAGUUUGUCUUCACAUUACAAGUCGAUAUCGACCAUCUAAACUACCAUCACAUAGAAUAGAGAUGCGGUCAUCACGAUGAGCAUAAUCGCAAUGAACCUGGUCUUCAUCCGGUUCCUCCAACACUCCCUCCUCUCUCCCGCUAGAUAGCGCGCGUAUCUAACUUCCGC